rnacentral:sRNA from 1 species
GAAACGCACAACCAAUUCGCCAAGAAUCCAAGUUCGAGUGCAAGAACUUGGAUUAGAUAGUUGUAUCCUGCAAGAUAGACGUCCAUUGAACUAUUGCACGGGUGUAGGGGCGAAUUUCUGUCUUAGGUGAUUGCAUUUGCAAGCCUCUAUCUUCAAAAAACAAUAUUUUGUCAUGCGAGAAACGUCAGCUAAGUCGAUAUGGCAAAAAUUGGAGGACAAGUACAUGACAAAGAGCAACGAAAAUCGCCUCCAUUUGAAAAAGCAGUUAUACUGAUUCCAAUACAAAGAAGGUAUGAAAAUGAUUACACACCUCGAUUCAUUUAACAAAUUAAUCGCUGAUUUGUUAAAUUUAGAUGAAGAUGUCAAGGAUGAAGAUAAAGCCUUGAUUUUGUUAAAUUCAUUACCUGAGGCAUGUGUCUAA